CAGUCGCCGCGGGAAUACGAAGGGGGCUAGCGUUGCUCGGAAUGACUGGGCGUAAAGGGCGCGUAGGCGGUUCGUACAGUCAGAUGUGAAAUUCCUGGGCUUAACCUGGGGGCUGCAUUUGAUACGUGCGGGCUUGAGUGGGGAAGAGGGUCGUGGAAUUCCCAGUGUAGAGGUGAAAUUCGUAGAUAUUGGGAAGAACACCAACGGCGAAAGCACUCUGCUGGGCCGACACUGACACUGAGAGACGAAAGCUAGGGGAGCAAAUGGGAUUAGAUACCCCUGUAGUCCCUGUCUCUUAUAC
rnacentral:rRNA from 1 species